CUUGACCAGAAGAAUGUUCAGAUAUUCUAUUAUGCUCCAAAAGUAUCAGAGAGCUGGAAAGGACAGAAGCUUCUGUCGAGAGCUGAGUUUCAUGUUGGCGCCCAUAAUUUCUACGGUUGCAGCUUCUUCCCGCAUCUGCUGAUCGAACUAUGCCUGGCUCUGAUAAGACAACCCGAUUUGCCUUACUUUUUGAUACCCUGGAAGGCAGCAUUGCACCUCUGGAGGAACUUACCUUUCGUCGUAUGCAGUCAUUGCAGAAAAAGCUCGUAGAUUCUGUCAGCCAUGUCGCUGGACUAAAUCCACGAUCUUUCAGACACUUCCAUUCGAAUGGAAAGGCUCAUCGCCCAGGUCCUGACAGCAUUGUCGAUUGUGAGCUGCUCGUGCAUUUCGAGAUGCUGGCACUCGAAGAUCAACUUGAAAGUGCUAUUCAGAUCGGUACGACA